AUAAAAAUUUGUAAAAUAUGGCACUAUUGAAUUUGUUGUUUAUAAGUUGUAAGAUAGACACUAAUUUAAGGCACUUUUGGAGAUGCUUUUAUGUUCAAGUAAAUAGAUUAGCUAUAAGGUGUUUGGAUUUCUUACUGUGGGAGUUAAUCAGUUUCUACCAGUUUGCUGAAACCGAAGGUCCUCCACUCUUCUCUGAUGCAAAUUAGUCUGGUUUCAGAUGACCAAUUCAUUUUUAUGUGAAUUGGUGUUGAGUUCUAAAGUGACAUUUUUUGGUUUGCGGAGAGUUAGAUCUACGUCAGGUUUUCUCCAAGAUUUUGGUGUAUAAAUUUUCUCAUUGUUGUUUGUGUUCUUUGGGGAGGUGUUCUUUUUCUUCCUGAAAAUCUAGUUAGGUUGCUGUUGGUAGAUUAGUUUGAAUUGUUGCAGUCAAGAAUUGUUUGUUGCACGUUGCCACGGCUGAUCGUGUUUAGUUUCUCUCGUGGCGUCCGUGGACAUGCGAUGAGAUUAU
rnacentral:lncRNA from 7 species